UAACAAUAAUUACAUAAUUACAAUUAUAAUGGCAGGUCGGAUAAUUUUGUGAUUGUAGAUAAAUAAUCCAACGGUUCUAUUCUGCCAUAUAUCUAUGUUCUUUGUGGACAACUCAGUUUGGUCUACAGACGGGCCUGCAUUGGGCUUGGGCUGUAAUAAUAGCCGCAAAGAUGAGAUCCCAAAAUAUGAGAAAAGCGAAUCAUCGUGGACUUGGUGGCAUGUACCCGUAGGCUGUUCUGCAUCCUCCCCUGCAGUUAUUGAAUCGCCCUGUGUAGCUGUGUGGGGGCGAUAAUCGCAGUUGACCAAAUUCAGUCCUCUCCGUCUCCACUGAUGGUGGGUAUGGAAAUAGGUGGAUAUGAUCAGCAGACAUCACUGUUGUCGCAUUCAACUUCCUCUUCUCCUUCGUCUUCUUUAUCAUGCAGCGAUCAAGCUGCCGGGCAUGCUCAUAAGACUGCAGAGCGAUCAGGGACGAUAUGGACUGCUUUGGCACAUAUAAUAACAGCGGUAAUUGGUUCCGGGGUACUAUCACUAGGAUGGAGUAUGUCACACCUUGGAUGGGUUGCAGGUCCAUUAACCAUGUUGGCAUUUGCAUCAGUUACCCUUACUUCUGCAAUUCUUCUUUGCAACUGCUACAUAUCUGCUGAUCUCGACAAAGGGUUACACAGAAAUGGCUCCUACUUGGAUGCUGUGCGAAGAAUUCUAGGGAAGAAGAGUGCUUGGGUGUGUGGCAUAAUCGUUCGAAUCAAUUUCAUCAAGGUGGGUAUUGUCUACACAAUUACGUCCUCCAUCAGCAUGAGAGCAAUUCAAAGGUCAAACUGUUACCAUAGUGAAGGGCAUACAGCUGCUUGUAAAUAUGGAACCACUUAUUACAUGCUUACAUUUGGAAUUAUUCAAGUGAUAGUUUCUCAAAUACCUGAUUUUCGGAACACUGAGUGGCUAUCUGUCGUUGCCGCAGUCAUGUCCUUCACAUAUUCUAUCAUUGGAUCAGCACUUGGCUUGGCCAAAGUAAUAGAAAAUAGAGAAAUAAAAGGCAGCAUUGAAGGAGUUCCAACUUCCACUGCUGCACAAAAAGUAUGGUCAAUUUCUCAAGCGAUUGGGGACAUUGCCUUCGCUUUCCCUUUCUCUCUUAUUUUUCUUGAGAUAAUGGACACUCUGAAGUCAAAUCCACCAGAAAAAGUCACUAUGAAGAAGGCAUCUGUAAUUGCAGUCUGUGUGACAACUUUCUUCUACUUAUCUUGCGGAGGAUUGGGUUAUGCAGCUUUUGGUAAUUCAACACCUGGAAACCUCUUGACUGGAUUUGGGUUUUAUGAGCCAUACUGGCUUGUUGACUUCGCUAAUGCAUGUGUUGUUCUUCAUCUCAUUGGCGGAUAUCAGGUGUUUACCCAGCCGCUUUAUGCAAGUAUUGAGCAAUGGUUUACAGAGAAGUUUCCCAACAAUGAAUAUGUGCAUGGUGACCUAAAACAAAUGCCUGCUUUGAGGCUCAAUCUGCUUAGGUUGGGUCUCCGAACUGCUUACGUUGGAUUCACCACAGGAUUUGCAAUGCUGUUUCCAUACUUUAACCAAGUCGUGGGGUUAGCUGGAGCAAUUAACUUUUGGCCUGUUGUUGUAUACUUCCCUGUGGAAAUGUACUUGGUGCAGAAAGAAAUAAGGCCUUGGACAAGCAAAUCAAUUAUUCUAAGGAUAUAUUGUUUCAUUACCUUGCUCGUUAUCCUGUUUGCCUUUGUUGGCUCAAUCAAAGGUCUUAUAGCAGCAAGGUUCAGCUAAGAUGGGAUCACGUUUGAAGUUUGAUGAUGAAAUUGACCUAGACAAAUGAACAAAGCAUCAGUCUCGAAAUCCUUCAUAGUGUUCUGGAUUAGGACUGUCUGUCAUUGCAUUCUCCAGAAAAGUCACCGGAAUCUCGUCAUGUGACCUUCACAUGCUAAGUUGAAAUACCUCCUGCAGAUCUGCCUGGUCACGAGGAACAGAAAGGGACCUCAAUGUAUGGACAAAUUCUUUAAGCAAUGCAGGCCAAUGAACCCGGCAUCAUGUAGUUGGUUGUCAAGUAAAAAUAUCCACAUCCAUCGUGAAUCAAGAUAUUAAAAGGCAAGCACUAUAACAUUCCACACGAAGCUAGCCAAAGUACAGGUGAUCCCAACAGUUAAGUCACUGUAACUUGGACAGUUCUUAAGGAGAGUCCAAAAUUCCAAACAAUAACAGCAGAUUUGGAAAAUAACUCGAGUCUAUGAAAUUAGAUUAUUAGAAUAGCAAUGUUUAUUUCAAAAGAGUUG